GGGGCGGGGUGGCCUAUAAUGCAGUCGAGCGCGGGAAGCGAGUGGAUCCCCUUCGGGGGUGAAGCUCGUGGAACGAGCGGCGGACGGGUGAGUAACACGUGGGCAACCUACCUGUAAGAUCGGAAUAACCCCGGGAAACCGGGGCUAAUGCCGGGUAAUACUUUUCUUCGCAUGAAGGAAAGUUGAAAGAUGGCCUCUGGCUAUCACUUACAGAUGGGCCCGCGGCGCAUUAGCUAGUUGGUGAGGUAACGGCUCACCAAGGCAACGAUGCGUAGCCGACCUGAGAGGGUGAUCGGCCACACUGGGACUGAGACACGGCCCAGACUCCUACGGGAGGCAGCAGUAGGGAAUCUUCCGCAAUGGACGAAAGUCUGACGGAGCAACGCCGCGUGAACGAUGAAGGUCUUCGGAUCGUAAAGUUCUGUUGUUAGGGAAGAACAAGUGCCGUGCGAAUAGAGCGGCACCUUGACGGUACCUAACGAGGAAGCCCCGGCUAACUACGUGCCAGCAGCCGCGGUAAUACGUAGGGGGCAAGCGUUGUCCGGAAUUAUUGGGCGUAAAGCGCGCGCAGGCGGUUCCUUAAGUCUGAUGUGAAAGCCCACGGCUCAACCGUGGAGGGUCAUUGGAAACUGGGGAACUUGAGGACAGAAGAGGAGAGUGGAAUUCCACGUGUAGCGGUGAAAUGCGUAGAUAUGUGGAGGAACACCAGUGGCGAAGGCGACUCUCUGGUCUGUUUCUGACGCUGAGGUGCGAAAGCGUGGGUAGCAAACAGGAUUAGAUACCCUGGUAGUCCACGCCGUAAACGAUGAGUGCUAGGUGUUAGGGGGCUUCCACCCCUUAGUGCUGAAGUUAACGCAUUAAGCACUCCGCCUGGGGAGUACGGCCGCAAGGCUGAAACUC
rnacentral:rRNA from 1 species